GUCAUGAUGUCCGAGUGGUUAAGGAGUUUGACUUGAAUAACUCAACUAUUGGUGAGUAAAUUCUGGACAUCAAAUGCUGUUUCAGCGCGUAGGUUCAAAUCCUGCUCAUGACG
rfam:Sugiyamaella lignohabitans strain CBS 10342 chromosome A, complete sequence.